ACCCGGUCUCGUCCGUCAGGGAAGUCAAGCAACAUUGGGUCAAGUUAGUACUUGGAUGGGUGACCGCCUGGGAAUACUUGAUGUUGUAGACAA
rnacentral:rRNA from 1 species